UUCGGUGCCGGGCCUCCAAGCCUUCCAAGCCUGGCCGGUCUCUUGCUCUUCAGCGCACUCUCCGCCCAGCCUGGGCCCUGACCCGGUCCCAGUCCCGGGUGGGUUUGGGCGCAGUAGCGGAGCCGAGCACCGGUUCCGCCUCCCUAACCCUUGGCCUCUGGCCUGCGGGUGUGGGAGAGGCGGGGAGGCGGCACCGGGAGGGGCCAGCUCCGCGCCCACUCCCCCGCCUCCCCAGUCCUCUGCAGGAAGUGCGGCCCGGGUGGCCCAGAAAGGGAAGAGGCCGGAGUCGCCCCAGGCCGUCUCCCAGGGCCCUCUGGCACCCUCACCGCCAGUCCCCUGAGCACAAACCACCAGCCUUCCCGCGCCGGUUUCCGGGAAGGAGCCGAAGACCCGGAGGAGGGACACCUGAGUUGCAGUUCUGGUUGCCUUUGCGGGUUCUGGGCGAUUUGGGCAAGUCUCUGAGACUCCCUCCCCGGGGCUUGGUUUCCCCACCUAUAAAAUGGACGGGAGGAGGAGCAGGCUUCUUCGGGCCCUUCCCUCCCUGACACGCUGUGGGUCUUCAGUCUCUGGUGAGGAAGGGACUUGGUGGACAUCUCGGUCCCAGAGACAGGCAGCCUGGGAGCCGAGGAGAGACAAACCUGUGUUUCCUGUAGACUUCCUCUGUGCCCCUCCGAAGGCCCCUACCUGAGAAGGAAGGAAGAAAGGACUGUGCUUCCCAGAGCCCCUCACCCCAGUAGCUCCUGAAAAUCUGGGCCCUGGAAAAAGCAAAUAUAUACACACACCCACCACUACCACCACCACCCACCCCAAACAUCCCCGAAGAAAGGUAACCACAGAAACAGCCCUGAAUGUGGAGCUGGGCGUUAGUGUUAGGCUGAGACAGACUGUCGUUCUGGCGUCUCCAGGGGAGAACUCAAAUCUUCCUGCAAAUCCUCCUCCACAGAAACCCGAGGCCACGCGAGGACACAGCGAGAAGGCAGCCAUGUGCAAGCCGGGAAAGGAACCCUCACCAGAUUCUGAAUCUGCCAACACCUUGGUCUUGGACUUCCAGCCUCCAGAGCUGUGAGAGAUAAAUGUCUGCUGUGAGCCUCUC